rnacentral:lncRNA from 10 species
ACUGAGAUGACCCAUAGUACCCCAUUCCUUGCUGCAAUGUAAUUAUAUUUAAUUACAAGUGUGCCCCUGGUAGUCUUUAACUGAAGGGCACUGACUGGGUCACUGGUGAAGUUCCCCGCAGGAACUGAGUCAGACCCCAUCUCAGGGCCCUGCACAAGAUAGGUGCCUGCUCUAAGGCGUGGACCCUCGCCACAGCCCUGGCCCGUCUUGACGGGCGAGGGUUACUGUACUUGUCCCAACCGUACAGAUGAGAAAGCUGAGACUCAGGGCCAGCAACCCGGGUCCCAGCGGAGCGCCCGGCACACGCCGACACUUCAGCACCAGUGGCGGUGGCCACCACUGUGGGCGGAGAUGGCUGCGACGCGUGCGCAGGGAAAUUUGUGCACAGAGAUAACACAGGGGAUAUGCCAUAUGAAGAUGAAGGCAGAAUUCUACAAGCCCAGGGAUGCCAAAGAUUGCCAGCAAACCACCAGAAGCUAGGAGAGAAGUGUGGAUUAGAUUCUUCCUCACAGCCCUCAGAAGGAUCCAGCCCUGCCAAGAACUUGAUCUCAGACUUCUAGUCUCCAGAACUGUGAGACAGUGCAUUUUGUUUUGUAAGUCAGCCAUAUGGUUUGUGGCA